rnacentral:lncRNA from 1 species
GUGCAAGCAGAGGACAGGAAAGAUAUUCGGAAUCCAUCUUUUCCCCAUGCCUUAUAUGUUAUAGUAAUAAAUUGUGAACCAAAUAAUUUGAUUAAAACCGUUUAAAAACUAAAAAAAAUGUUCGCGCCUAGCGCGAAAAAAACCUCACUUCGACAAAACAGCCAUAUCCCCACUUUUAAUGUUAAAUGGUUGCUCCCUUAGACAACGUUUGGACUGAUGCUUGUAAAAAGUAUAUGCAUUUAUCAUAUACGUAGCUCUAUUAGGGGUAAUGAAUCCGCC